AGCUCCAAUAGCGUAUAUUAAAGUUGUUGCAGUUAAAAAGCUCGUAGUUGGAUCUCGGAGCGGAGCUCACGGUCCGCCUUUUCGGGUGUGUACUGUGCUGUUCUGUUCUUCUUCUCGUGGAGCGUGUGUGCUCUUCACUGAGUGUGCACGUAACUCGGGACUUUUACUUUGAAAAAAUUAGAGUGUUCAAAGCAGGCCUUGGCUUGAAUACAUUAGCAUGGAAUAAUGGAACAGGACUACGGUCACUGCACUUUUCCGUUGGUUUCGGAGGGCCGAAGUAAUGAUUAAGAGGGACAGUUGGGGGCAUCCGUAUUUCGCAGUCAGAGGUGAAAUUCUUGGAUCUGCGAAAGACGAACGAGUGCGAAAGCAUUUGCCAAGAGUGUUUUCAUUAAUCAAGAAC
rnacentral:rRNA from 1 species